rnacentral:rRNA from 1 species
UACAGAGGUCCCAAGCGUUGUUCGGAUUCACUGGGCGUAAAGGGUGCGUAGGCGGUCGGGUAAGUCUGACGUGAAAUCUCCGGGCCUAACCCGGAAACUGCGUUGGAAACUGCCUGGCUAGAGGAAUGGAGGGGAGACUGGAAUACUUGGUGUAGCAGUGAAAUGCGUAGAUAUCAAGUGGAACACCAGUGGCGAAGGCGAGUCUCUGGACAUUUCCUGACGCUGAGGCACGAAAGCCAGUGGAGCAAACGGG